AAUUCAUAGAUAGGCUACGAGCGGUGUUCCUCCUGUACACUUAGGACGAGUAAGAUUUGCGGAUACGAAUCGUUAGUUCUAGCAGCGAGUCUUUGGGAAAAGAAAAUCAGGCAAUUCGAUUGCAACUUUUGGGAAUUCGUUUCUCGUAGAAACAAUUCGAUUUGCGUCUGUAAUUAGAAGAGCGACUUGGUACAGCGCUGACUAUUGAGCAGUAAUUAUUAACUUUUUUACAGGAAAAAGAGCGAGCGAUAAUUAAUUCCAGUAGGCCGCUUUUUAGUAAACAAGAUCUUAUAAAUUGUACAUUAUUUACGGCGAGCAUUUCUUAGUAAUAAAAAUAAUUUAUAUUUUUCCAUAUUUCUUACUAAAUUAUAUGGAACAUUUCGUAUAAUAUAAAAAUUUAUCGCUUGUUGACCGACUAUUUAUUGAUCUCUUGUUAUGUCAUUAAUAAUGAGAUUUUGAUGAUAUAACUGGCUGGCUGUCAUUCUCAAUAUUAGAUCGUAAUUCCUUUCAGGAUGGAAGAGUUAAUUUCCCCUUUUUAUAUCCUAUAAUUCAAUCCGAUUUUUAUCUAAACUCGACGAGAUUUUUGUCCCAACGUUCUCGUAAAUAUCAAAAACUUUUCCGUACGCAAAUUCAAAUCUAUGGACAAUUUACCAACCUAAGUUCUUCGUCUUUAACCCAACCGUCAAUAUUAGAUUUAUUUAAUGAAAGUUAUGCUGAUAAUUCCUAUCAAGAUUCCCACCUGGCGACACUUUAUCGGAGGUUAACGAAAAACGAAUAGUGAAGUAGACCGUUUUAAAAUAAAAGUACUUUCUGAUCCUUUAUUAAUAUUUUUGUUCUUCCACGCUCAUAAAGGGUAAAGAUUUUCGCAUCAAUAAAAAAGUCAAAGUGGCUACUUCUAUUGAAAACAACAUAUUGUGAUUUCUAUCGUUUCAAUUUAAAGAUGAAAAUACCGACAGUUAACUCUGGCUUUAUUGUUGCUGUAAUGUCCUUCGUUUGCAGGAAACCAAUUGGCACGUCCAUUAUUUCGUAUCUUUCCUUAAAAAAAUUACGUA